rfam:Capsicum annuum cultivar Zunla-1 chromosome 3, whole genome shotgun sequence
UCGAAUGAUGAACAAUUAUUUUUGUGUGUUUCAUCAUUAUUAUGUGAAUUUAUAGGAGGCAAAGUAAUAUUGACGAGAUAUCGUUUCGAUCGUCAUUUUUUUUCCAUUGACGAUUUGAUUGUUGCUCGUCUACAU